rnacentral:rRNA from 1 species
UGGGGAAUAUUGCACAAUGGGCGGAAGCCUGAUGCAGCGACGCCGCGUGAGGGAUGACGGCCUUCGGGUUGUAAACCUCUUUCAGUAGGGAACAAGGCCAGUGUUUAGCUGGUUGAGGGUACUUGCAGAAGAAGCGCCGGCUAACUACGUGCCAGCAGCCGCGGUAAUACGUAGGGCGCAAGCGUUAUCCGGAAUUAUUGGGCGUAAAGAGCUCGUAGGCGGUUUGUCGCGUCUGCCGUGAAAGUCCGGGGCUCAACUCCGGAUCUGCGGUGGGUACGGGCAGACUAGAGUGAUGUAGGGGAGACUGGAAUUCCUGGUGUAGCGGUGAAAUGCGCAGAUAUCAGGAGGAACACCGAUGGCGAAGGCAGGUCUCUGGGCAUUAACUGACGCUGAGGAGCGAAAGCAUGGGGAGCGAACAGGAUUAGAUACCCCCGUAGUCC